rnacentral:rRNA from 1 species
UACGUAGGGCGCAAGCGUUGUCCGGAAUUAUUGGGCGUAAAGAGCUCGUAGGUGGCUUGUCGCGUCUGCCGUGAAAGCCCAUGGCUUAACUGUGGGUCUGCAGUGGAUACGGGCAGACUAGAGGUAGGUAGGGGAGAAUGGAAUUCCCGGUGUAGCGGUGAAAUGCGCAGAUAUCGGGAGGAACACCGGUGGCGAAGGCGGUUCUCUGGGCCUUACCUGACGCUGAGGAGCGAAAGCGUGGGGAGCGAACAGG